rnacentral:rRNA from 1 species
GGCUCAGAACGAACGCUGGCGGCGUGGAUUAGGCAUGCAAGUCGAGCGAGAAAGUUUCCUUCGGGAAGCGAGUAAAGCGGCGACCUGGUGAGUAACAGGUGGGCAACGUGCCCUCGAGUUGGGGACAACCUUCAGAAAUGGAGGCUAAUACCGAAUGCGCCCUCGGUUCCGCAUGAGGCUGAGGGGAAAGACGUUUCGGCGUCGCUCGAGGAUCGGCCCGCCCCCGAUUAGCUUGUUGGCAGGGUAACGGCCUACCAAGGCAACGAUCGGUAGCUGGUCUGAGAGGAUGGUCAGCCACACUGGGACUGAGAUACGGCCCAGACUCCUACGGGAGGCAGCAGUCUAGAGGCUUCGGCAAUGGGGGCAACCCUGACCGAGCGACGCCGCGUGUGGGACGAAGGCCGUGAGGUUGUAAACCACUGUCAGCGGGGAAGAAGGCCCGGAUGGCGAAUCCGGGAUUGACGGUACCCGCGGAGGAAGCCCCGGCUAACUACGUGCCAGCAGCCGCGGUAAUACGUAGGGGGCGAGCGUUGUUCGGAUUUACUGGGCGUAAAGCGUGCGUAGGCGGUUUGGCAAGUCUGACGUGAAAUCUGCACCGCUCAACGGGCAGGGGUCGUUGGAUACUACCAGGCUAGAGGACGAGAGAGGAGAGCGGAAUUCCAGGUGUAGCGGUGGAAUGCGCAGAUAUCUGGAAGAACACCAGUGGCGAAGGCGGCUCUCUGGCUCGUUUCUGACGCUGAGGCACGAAAGCCAGGGGAGCAAACGGGCUUAGAUACCCCGGUAGUCCUGGCUGUAAACGGUGAGCGCUAGGUGUGGGGGGUAUCGACCCCCUCCGUGCCGAAGUCAACACAUUAAGCGCUCCGCCUGGG